rnacentral:rRNA from 1 species
UAGGGAAUCUUCCACAAUGGACGAAAGUCUGACGGAGCAACGCCGCGUGAGCGAUGAAGGCCUUCGGGUCGUAAAGCUCUGUUGUUAGGGAAGAACAAGUAUCGGAGUAACUGCCGGUACCUUGACGGUACCUAACCAGAAAGCCACGGCUAACUACGUG